AAAGAAACGUGACGGCAACAGUAAAAUUCUCAGGACCAGAAGCUCCCAGAGACCCACGGGCCUGUGUGUGCUAAAGCUGUGAAGUCAGAUGGAGUAAGAAGCAUGUGUGUGAGCAGACACGUGUGAUGUGUGUGUACCUUUCCCUGUGGCUUCAUUUGCACGUGGUGUUUGGGAUGUCCCACGCAUAGAGUUUCAUCGGACCAUCCUGUAUGGAAACCAAAGCGUGGACACGUGAUUGCAUUACGUCCACUGCUGAGUGAGCAGUGGUGAUGGGCCACACUUUCCUUCCAAACCAAGACUUGCAUCAAACACAGAAAAAAGGCAUGGGCCCAACAAAUUGUGCAACAGGUCCUGGCCAGGAACAAGGUCAGGGUGACUAAGAUGAAUGCUUCCCAAGACAGUCGGUGGCUUUGAAGAACUUCGUCUAUACCCACCGAUGCAUUGACCCAAAGUAGAAAUUAUGAUGACUCUUCCAAAGUGUACACGUAGUGAGUUCCAAUGAGCCAGUUUUAU